UGGAUGAUGUGGUUUAAUUCGAUGCAACGCGAAAACCUUACCCACCUUGACAUGUACGGAAUCCUUUAGAGAUAGAGGAGUGCUCGAAAGAGAGCCGUAACACAGGUGCUGCAUGGCUGUCGUCAGCUCGUGUCGUGAGAUGUUGGGUUAAGUCCCGCAACGAGCGCAACCCUUGUCAUUAGUUGCUACGAAAGGGCACUCUAAUGAGACUGCCGGUGACAAACCGGAGGAAGGUGGGGAUGACGUCAAGUCCUCAUGGCCCUUAUAGGUGGGGCUACACACGUCAUACAAUGGCUGGUACAAAGGGUUGCCAACCCGCGAGGGGGAGCCAAUCCCAUAAAGCCAGUCGUAGUCCGGAUCGCAGUCUGCAACUCGACUGCGUGAAGUCGGAAUCGCUAGUAAUCGUGGAUCAGCAUGUCACGGUGAAUACGUUCCCGGGUCUU
rnacentral:rRNA from 1 species